rnacentral:piRNA from 1 species
UCUAGGAUGUGUGCAAUUUCG